rfam:Pongo abelii chromosome 19.
UCUCAUGAGUGUGACCAUCUGGAGGUAAGAAGCACUUUUUGUUUUGUGAAAGAAAAGAAAGUGCUUCCUUUCAGAGGGAUUACUCUUUGAGA